rnacentral:rRNA from 1 species
GGGCUGUACCCACAUCCACAGCAGGUCUCCAAGCUGAACAGCCUCUGGCAUAGUAGAAAAUGUAGGUAAGGGAAAUCAGCAAGCCAGAUCUGUAACUUUUGAAUAAGGACUGGUUCUAAGG